rnacentral:rRNA from 1 species
AGAGUUUGAUCCUGGCUCAGAACGAACGCUGGCGGCGUGCCUAACACAUGCAAGUCGUACGAGAAAUCCUGGGCAACUGGGAAAGUAGAGUGGCGCACGGGUGAGUAACACGUGGGUAACCUACCCUUAGAUUUGGGAUAACUCCGCGAAAGCGGGGCUAAUACCGGAUGAUAUUCUGAUUCCCAAGGGAGUCGGAAUCAAAGAUGGCCUCUGCAUGCAAGCUAUCGUCAAAGGAUGGGCCCGCGUACCAUUAGCUAGUUGGUAGGGUAACGGCCUACCAAGGCAACGAUGGUUAGCUGGUCUGAGAGGAUGGCCAGCCACACUGGAACUGAGACACGGUCCAGACUCCUACGGGAGGCAGCAGUGGGGAAUCUUGCGCAAUGGGGGAAACCUUGACGCAGCAACGCCGCGUGGGUGAUGAAGGCCUUCGGGUCGUAAAGCCCUGUCAGGUGGGAAGAAACGUAUCGGUGCUAAUACCACCGAUACUUGACGGUACUACCGGAGGAAGCACCGGCUAACUCCGUGCCAGCAGCCGCGGUAAUACGGAGGGUGCAAGCGUUGUUCGGAAUUAUUGGGCGUAAAGAGCGUGUAGGCGGUCGGGUAAGUCAGAUGUGAAAUCCCUUGGCUUAACCAAGGAAGUGCAUUUGAAACUGCCCGGCUUGAGUACGGGAGGGGGAAGUGGAAUUCCCGGUGUAGAGGUGAAAUUCGUAGAUAUCGGGAGGAACACCGGUGGCGAAGGCGGCUUCCUGGACCGAUACUGACGCUGAGACGCGAAAGCGUGGGGAGCAAACAGGAUUAGA